UACGUAGGGACCAAGCGUUGUUCGGAUUUACUGGGCGUAAAGCGCGUGUAGGCGGCCCUGCAAGUCGGGUGUGAAAUCCCAUGGCUCAACCAUGGAAGUGCACUCGAAACUGCAGGGCUAGAGUCCUGGAGAGGAAGGUGGAAUGCUUGGUGUAGAGGUGAAAUUCGUAGAUAUCAAGCGGAACACCGGUGGCGAAGGCGGCCUUCUGGACAGUGACUGACGCUGAGACACGAAAGCGUGGGGAGCAAACAGG
rnacentral:rRNA from 1 species